CCUACGGGUGGCAGCAGUGGGGAAUAUUGCGCAAUGGGCGAAAGCCUGACGCAGCGACGCCGCGUGAGGGAUGAAGGUCUUCGGAUCGUAAACCUCUGUCAGCAGGGAAGAACGGUCACUGUGCUAAUCAGCAGUGAAUUGACGGUACCUGCAAAGGAAGCACCGGCUAACUCCGUGCCAGCAGCCGCGGUAAUACGGAGGGUGCGAGCGUUAAUCGGAAUUACUGGGCGUAAAGCGCUCGUAGGCGGUAUGUCAAGUCAAGGGUGAAAUCCCCGCGCUCAACGUGGGAACUGCCUUUGAAACUGCAUGGCUGGAGUGCGGGAGGGGCAGGCGGAAUGCCUGGUGUAGCGGUGAAAUGCGUAGAUAUCAGGAGGAACACCGGCGGCGAAGGCGGCCUGCUGGACCGCGACUGACGUUGAGGCUCGAAAGCGUGGGGAGCGAACAGGAUUAGAUACCCUUGUAGUC
rnacentral:rRNA from 1 species